rnacentral:rRNA from 1 species
UCAUGGCCCUUAUGUCCAGGGCUACACACGUGCUACAAUGGGUGAGAACAGAGUGACGACGAGCCGCGAGGUGAGCAAAUCGCAGAAAAUCAUCCGUAGUUCGGAUUGGAGUCUGAAACCCGACUCCAUGAAGGUGGAAUCGCUAGUAAUCGCGCAUCAGCAUGGCGCGGUGAAUACGUUCCCGGGCCUU